ensembl:snoRNA
ACUCUUUUCUGCUUCGUCAGUGUGAUGACUGUUUGCACCACUGUGGGAGAUGUGCCCCCCUCAAGCCUUGUUACCAAUGUCAUGGUACUCGUCCGACA